rnacentral:rRNA from 1 species
GACGAACGCUGGCGGCGUGCUUAACACACGCAAGUCGAACGGAAAGGCCCUGCUUUUGUGGGGUGCUCGAGUGGCGAACGGGUGAGUAACACGUGAGUAACCUGCCCUUGACUUUGGGAUAACUUCAGGGAACUGGGGCUAAUACCGGAUAGGAGCUCCUGCUGCAUGGUGGGGGUUGGAAAGUUUCGGCGGUUGGGGAUGGACUCGCGGCUUAUCAGCUUGUUGGUGGGGUAGUGGCUUACCAAGGCUUUGACGGGUAGCCGGCCUGAGAGGGUGACCGGCCACAUUGGGACUGAGAUACGGCCCAGACUCCUACGGGAGGCAGCAGUGGGGAAUAUUGCACAAUGGGCGGAAGCCUGAUGCAGCAACGCCGCGUGCGGGAUGACGGCCUUCGGGUUGUAAACCGCUUUCGCCUGUGACGAAGCGUGAGUGACGGUAAUGGGUAAAGAAGCACCGGCUAACUACGUG